rnacentral:tRNA from 1 species
GGUUCCAUGGUGUAGUGGUUAGCACUCAGGGGCUUUGAAUCCUGCGACCCGAGUUCAAAUCUCGGUGGGACCU